CAUUCAACAAUCUUCCAUUAAUUCCCCUUAUGAUAGAGCGGCAGCAAUUCUCCCGCGCGAAAGAGAUUGGACACAUAAUUACAGAUUGCGCCGUACGCAACGAGCAACGACGCUACAUUGCCUACUGGAACCUAAGAACCAUUCUAGAUUUGAGUUUUGUCUGACAUACAGCAAGAGCGGAGGAGUUGCUGAUUUUGACCGUUUCGACCCUUUCGCACUCAAUACUCAAAGGUGUCAAGCCACAGCCAUCCUCGGCCAGAAGAUCAGCUUUGUGAGCCAGAAGAAGCAUGAUGUUGUUGAUGAAUCCAUAUUCAGCACACAAAUGAAGAGGAGUCUGGAAGAAAAAUCAAGCAGGACUGAUAAUAGGCGUAAUUCAUUAAUCUCUGAAAGAUGCAGAUAAAAAGUACCAAGCAUGAAGAAGCCUUACCUUUUAGUACCUAUGAGAUGCCUUUAUUGCAUGAUGACAUCAUUAUUAAGUUGGGUUCUCCCAAUUCACUCAAGUGAGUGACCAAGCAAUUUAUCUUAAAUCUCUCUGUAAAUACUCUUACUCGAUACUUGAUACAUUGCUUGCCAAACAAUCCAUCUUCAAUAUUUCUUACUUCUUCGGUAAUGGACAGCGAAGUCAAUCACUAAAAUACUUUUGUUUUGUUUGAAUAAUUACUUGUCUUUGAAUGAUUACUUGAAAUUUAUUUCUUAUAAUGCACAAGGUUUUUUUCUCUUGGCAGUGGCACUGAUUGUUGUAAUGACCAUUAUGUAUUUAGUAAACUGUCCUCAAUAAAAACUAAAGAUCUAUCUAUUUAAAAGAAGUUGUAGUUGUAGAGAGAAGUGAGAUUUUAUCUAUUAAUCUAUUUCUAUUAAAAUCUAUCCUCUAGACUGGCUGCUUGGAAGGGGCUAAGCUAAAGUUGCUUACUUUGCAAGUUGGUCAAUAUUGAGAAAGAAAGAUGCACUAUGUUCCAAUUUUGGGUGCUGUAAGAUGCCACUUUGACACUCUAGAAGUGUAAACUUACAGCUUUUACUUAGGAAAAAUACUUAGUGCCAUAAAUGGUGCAAUAAGUGCUGUCCUGACUUAAAUUUUAGACUGAUUGACUAGACUCACAUUCAUGCAUUGGCGUAUAAUACAAUCUAGACCGCGCAUUGGGCCCGACUUUAGGCGGGGAAGGUAAGACAGCUAGGGGGGUAAAUCAGGGCAAAAACGCACCUUCAGCCUAGUUGAUACCGCCGGAUAUACGAACUAAGUGUACCCGUAUCAGGCAACGGCACUGACAAGACUGGCAUUUCCACGAAUUCCACC
rnacentral:lncRNA from 1 species